UACGUAGGUGGCAAGCGUUGUUCGGAAUUACUGGGCGUAAAGCGCGCGUAGGCGGCUCUUCAAGUCAGGCGUGAAAGCCCCGGGCCUUGAACUCGGGAACGUGCGCUUGAUACUGUCGAGCUAGAGUGUGGAAGGGGCGAUUGGAAUUCCGUGUGUAGCGGUGAAAUGCGUAGAUAUACGGAGGAACACCAGAGGCGAAGGCGGAUCGCUGGGCCAACACUGACGCUGAUGCGCGAAAGCUAGGGGGAGCAAACGGG
rnacentral:rRNA from 1 species